GACUGUGGGAUAAAUUCAAGAAAGUGGGGAUAAUACAGGAUAGGACCUCCGGCUCCAUGGCCGGGGUUGGAAAGUUUCGGCGGUUGGGGAUUACUCGGGGCUUAUCAGAUUGAUGGUGGGGAAGUGGCUUUGCAAGGCUUUGACGGGUAGCCGCCCUGAGAGGGAGACCGGCCCCAUUCUGCUUGAGAUGCCACCCAGACUCAUUAGGGAGGCAGCAGUGGGAACAUUACACAAUGGGCGGAAGCCUAAGGCAAAAACCUUCCGUGCGGGAAGUCGUCUUUCGGGUUGUGAACCGAGUUAACUUGAUACGAAGCGUCAUUGACGUUAAUGGGUAAAGAAGCACCGGCUAACUACGUGCCAGCAGCCGCGGUAAU
rnacentral:rRNA from 1 species